GUUCGGAUCGCAAGCUGCAACCCGCCUGCGUGAAGUCGGAAUCGCUAGUAAUCGCGGAUCAGCAUGCCGCGGUGAAUACGUUCCCGGGCCUUGUACACACCGCCCGUCACACCAUGAGAGUCGGGAACACCCGAAGCCCGUAGCCUAACUUGCAAGAGAGGGCGCGGUCGAAGGUGGGUUCGAUAAUUGGGGUGAAGUCGUAACAAGGUAUC
rnacentral:rRNA from 1 species